AGAUUCAUUCAUUUGAUGUGGGAUGAACAUGGAGACAACCUCUGUAGUUAUACUAAUAUUAGAAUGACAAGGGUUUUACAGCCAUAAUGUCCUCUUAUUCAAGAUCGUAAGAUGCUUCUAUCUGUAAUUCAGAGGUCACAUUGGCAGUCUUCUAGCAACAGCCGAUCUUUGACUGACAAAGAGUUGCGGUAGCUAAAUGGAAGGUGAUGGUCUGACGGAGCUGACGCAUAUGAAAGGCACACCUAGGGCUUCAGAGUAGCAACAUUUACUUGUUGAAGACGUAUGAAAUUGGAAAACCACUGUUAGAUUUGCGGUUGCAGACCUGUGGAUUUUAUAUGUAAGAAUCAAAAUAUUUCCAUUCAGUAUUGUCCCAAAAUCUUGUGAACCAAAUUCCUAGCUGGUCUAGGUGCUAUAUAAACCAGGAUGCUUCAAACACCUUCUACUCUAGAUUGUAAUCGGUUUAAUGUGUCAAACUAUAGCUCAAUUUAUUUUUAAAACAAAAUAUUUUGUGAAAUUUAAGCCAAAUUCCAAAUGGAUUAUGGCAGGUCUCAUUUGUAAUGGCUGUAUUUGUUAUAGUUAAAACUUAAAAAUACAUCAGUAGCUCUCAUGAAUAGAGCUUCCAGUCAUCUGAACCUUAGUCAGUACCCCUUGCUACUGAGUACUGACAAUAGGUUAUUUAUUUUAUGGAAUUUGUGGAAGUCUAGGAAUAAGAAAUUUUUCCAAGCAUUACCUUUCAAUCAUUAUACCACUUUUAUUUGGAGCUUUAUUAAAGGAAAGCAAUACUGGACAAAUACUCUUCUUCUUGCAGGUAUUGGUUGGCUGCUCAGUUUACUGCAGGGGGUUUCCGAAAGUAGAUUCAGAGUACAUACUAGAAGUAGCUGUUGUAUCCUUUCUUGUUUAAAAAAUAAAUAAAUAGUAAAAUACAUCCUGUUUCAACAAGAUCUACUAAUUAGUAAUUACUAAAGUUAAAAAAAAACCCAGUCCUUAGAGGUUCUUUGUUACGUGUAGUUGUUACAUACGUUAAUACGUAUAUAUAAAUCUCUUUCGGCUGUGAUUUUGUGAAAGAUCAAAGCAAGAAGAAGAUCUUCUCUGUAACGCAAAGGUACUUAUAUUAUUAUUUUUGUCUGCAAUUCUCUGUUCUUUAAAAUUUGAUAUCAAUUGAUUUCUACUUUUGUAGAUGAAAACCUUGGUAACGUUAACACACAUGUAGUAUUCUUUGUUUUAUGAAUGUUUGUAGCAUUAUAUUAUUCACCAAAAUUAGGGUUCUAUGUAAAUUGCAGCAAGAUUAAACAAUGAACUCCAACCUUGAUCAAGUGAUUCAAUUUGUAUUUUGCAAUUUUAAGUUUAAGUAUUUUUAGUGAUGGGGUAAAACACCUGGUAGGGUUGAAUGGCUGAUGAUAAUGUAAUACCACUGCCACUAUAUAUUUUGCUUAAUAGCUUGAAUUGAUUAAGAAUACCCUUGAUCUGAUGAAUGUUUUGAUGUUGUGAUGUUUCCAACCACCUCAUCUCCAUAUGAGAAAAAAAAAUAACAAAUAAGGAUCUUAGGUCAGUUCGGGGAGAAAGUGCAAUGUAAAUCAAUAAAAUAAGAAUCAUGUUGAAUAUAAGAGAACCGGUUUUUACAUAAUAGCUUGAAGCGCGAAGAGAUUUGACAGGAAGUCUAGGGAGUAUGUUAUGAAUCAAAAUUUCUUCUGUAAGUGAAUGAAAAAUAUUACUACUAACACUAUCUUUUUUAUCACUCUUAAUCUUCUUCAUCAUCAUAACUAAACUCAAAGAACACAGAAGAAAUCUUGUCUUGUUUUCUUUGGUUUUAGUUAUCAUGAUGAAGAAUAUUAAGAGUGAUAAAGAAGAGAAUGGUAGUAGUAAUAUUUUUCAUUCACUUCCAGACGAAAUUUUGAUUCAUAACAUACUCCCAAGAUUUUCUGUUAAAUUUCUUUCACGCUAUGAGCUGGUAUGUAAAAACAUCAAACUAUUUUGGUUGGUCACGAAGGAGGAACUGUAAACCUUUUAGAUUUGCCUAGAAAAACAUUCAUCAGAUCAUGCUUAACCUUUUAGAUUGCUUCUUUGUCAUGUCCCUUAAUUAACUUUUGCUCAUUGCUUGUCAUAGUCAUGAAUGCAAGUCGUUCUCUGGAUACAUCGAAAAAACAAAACUUGGCUGAAGGAGAACAGUGUAAUGGUGAUCAUGAAGAUAUAAUUAGUAAUUUGCCGGAUAGCAUUCUUCAUUACAUUCUCUCCUUUCUUCCUACAAAAUAUGCUGUUGGUACUAGUAUACUAUCACAAAGGUGGAAGUUUCUUUGGACGUCCAUCCACAAUUUUGACUUUUGUGAUGAGCAUCUAUUUUGCACCUCAAGCAAGAGUAUAAAUUAUCAGAAAAGAAAGUGGUUCUUCAUUGAAUUUGUGAACAAGGUGCUUCAUUGCAAUGAUGUUUCAAAGAUACACAAGUUCAGUCUCAAAUGCAGGGAAUGUGAUCCAGCUCACUUCCCUACAUGGGUCGCUUCCAUAAUGCGCCGUGAAAUUCAAGAACUCAGUAUAUAUGCUUCUGAAGAAUAUCCUUACAUGUACCCACAUUGCUUUUCUACUUUUGAAUCACUGAGGGUAUUGAAAAUUGAUAUGGAUAUCUCUAUUAGCAUUACUGGUUCCGUAAGUUUUCCAAGCCUCAAGGUCCUGCAUCUUACAAGCGUUAACUUUUGUGGUGGCCUAUCACUGCCAGAAGUCUCUUUAAGAUGUCCUAUCCUAGAAGAAUCUGUUCUAGAUUGUUGUACAUGUUCGAAUAUCAAGACAUUUAGCAUUUAUGCUCCGACGCUUCCAAUGUUGAAAAUAAAGGGUGGGCAUGUGUAUAAACCAACAAAUUGUGUGGUAAAAAUAUUUGCAGAGAGGCUCGUGUCGUUGAAGUUGAAACAUUCACUAUCUUAUGAAUUUUCUCUAUGCGAACUAUCAUCUCUAGUUGAUGUUUCAAUUGACAUAUAUGGUACUAGCGGUAGUGUUCAUCACGUGGCUUCAAUUCUUAAAGGGAUCCAUAACGCAAAGAAUCUCGAGUUAAGUGCUCAUAGUGUUGAGGUAUGUGUUAUUUAUAUAAUAGUUAUUCUAGAGCAUAUGGUCAUGAAAGAUGAAUUAAUUUUAAUAUUUGGUUUAGUCAAUCUUUUAAUAUUGUUGAUUUGGUAUUUCUAGACUCUCUCGCGUCCUGAUGUCUCCGCCUACUUUCAUACACUAGCCCGCCUGACCCAUCUGAAAGUGCUGGACGGAUUGACUACAAGUGGUGAAAAAUUGAUAGACCUGCUCUGUAACAUGCCUUAUAUAGAAUCUCUUUGCUUCCCCAAUGUAAGUCCCAGUUCCUCCAUCCAGUUUUUAAAUUUAUAAUGUAACAUUUUUAUUGUCAUUGCCAUUUUAAAAUUCUUAAUCUUACACAGGGAACACAUUCAUUUGGAUUUAAAGAAUUUGGUCGAUUUGGAACAACUCCUCAAUGCUUUUUGUCGCACUUAAAGUUAGUUGAAAUUCGGCCUUUUAGAUGGUAUUCGGAUGAGCAAUGGUUUCUUAAAUUUCUGAUAAAAAGUACCAGGGUCAUGCAUAAACUUAUAAUCAAAGUGACAACGAGAGAUUCUUUCAGUGAUAAGCUUCCUGGGGAAAUGUCGGAAAAGCAAAUUAAAGAACUACAAAUGCUUGCCAGAAACUCAAAUUGUGUAAUUGAAUUUUCGUGAAGCAAUCGCAGCAUUAAAAGCCUGUAAGUAAAGAAUAUAAACUAUCUCUAUAUUUCUUCCCUUUAUUGUAAUUUGAUGUACCUUAUUCGUGCCUGAUAAGAAUAUGAAGGGCUAGUUAUAGUGACUUUCUUGGAUCUGCAGUGAUAGAGAAGAUCGGUGAUAAUAAUUUUGCAUUCCAAGUACACCCUUCUGUUAAUCUUAGUCCGAACUAUAGAUACACGUAGUUUAUAUAAUGAUGACCAUGGGAUCUGUGGUGAUAAAGGGCUGGGAAGUGGAAUCAAACUAAGAGUCACUAUAACCAGCCCGGAAUAUGAUUGAUGAAUCACAUAUUUAUAUAAGUUUUAGAAAGAGUCCAAUAUAAGAAAAGAAAAGAAAAAGAAAUUGAGGAUGUUGCCAUUUUGGGCUUUGAAUGAUUUGAAUCACUGCGACUAAUCUGAGUUUGAUCUGUUUUAUCGGGGCUUGCUGUUUGACUCCUUGUGGCCCGAUUUUUGAGUCUACAAAGCUUUGGUUCUUAAAAUCAUAUUCUUGUAGUUAUUUUAUCUGAUGCUUAAGUGCUAUUUGAAGGAAUUAAUACCUAACCUUACUGUUAAAAUUUUAGUUUUCUGUUUACUCUAGGACAACAGCCUGUCAACUAAGACAAUAAGUGAAUUUUGUGAUCAAGUUCAGAACAACCUGCUGGGAUUUUUUGUAAACGUCACUUGGACGCCUUGUGUCUGGGAUGCUCUGUCUUAAAAUCUAAGCAAUUCCACAAAAAUGCAAUUCACAAUUGUCUUUUUGCCACGCCAUCUAGUGCGUGCAUGUGGCAUUUGCUAAUCUAAAAGAUCCUUAUAUUGUUGUGACAACUUCCACAGUGAUUUUAAUAUUAAUGGUACCAUUAUAGUGUUACUUUCUCAUUGCUAGUUCAUAUUUAUAUAUUUUGUACUUCCAUGUUGUUUCAGGGCCUUCUCGGUAGCAGUGAUUGAUCUUGGAGGUACCCAAGCGUAAAACAGCUGACUGAAAGGUGAUGGGCUUCAUGCUUAUGAAGGGAUAGAUUGACAUGGAGGUUUAUCUAGGAAGCAAAAAUGGUAUUGGAAUUUGGGGUUGUGGACCUUUGAAUCCAUGAUGUAAGAAUCACUUUUUGACAUUUUCCUCCAUUCAGUAGAGUCACCUUCUUUGAAUAUUUGGUGAAACCUCGAGUCUUCAGUACCAACUGAACUAUGGUGUGAUGUUAUAUUGUGCAUAUGUAUAGGUCUCACUUGGAUUAACCUAGUAAAAUAUUCUGUUUGAAUUUAGAUGCAUCUUUUUAUUUUUUCAUAUAUAUAAACUAUCCCCAGAUCUGCUGUCCCUUUAUAUGAUGAAUCUUUGUUGUUACCCCAGGCAUUUUUUACUUUUGCAUAUAAUUCUUAGUUCUUACUGCAUCAUAAUUCAUAUAAGCAUUGUAAAAUAACGGUGUCAUAUUGCUUUUUGUUCUACAAAUACUCGAUUCGAACCUUGUCAUGGAACCCUCAUUUUAUUCCUUAUUUGUGAUUUAUAGUUUAUGCCGUUCUGUCACAUCCUGUUGGGUGUGAGCUGACACCAAUGUUUCUUGUCACACCUGAAAUUAGUAAAAGUUCAGCAUUUAGAUGGAUAGCAGAGCCUGUAUGGUUUGUUAAAUUUAUGAUAUAAAGUGCAAGAGUCAUGGACAGACUGAAUAUCAAAGUGAGGACGGGUUCUUUUGACGAUUUGUAUCCUGAAGAAAUGCCGGAGGUUGAAAUCAAACAAUUACAAAUGCUUGCCAGAAACACAAAUUGUGUACUUGAAUUUUUCUGAAGCAUUUAGAGUUUAAUAAACUUGCAAGUAAGAAAUAAAUCCUCUUUUGUUACUACUUUAUUCCUUUCUGCAGCAUUUAGAGUUUAAUAAACCUGCAAGUAAGAAUACAUCUUCAUAUGUAUAUUAUUAAAUUUGUGUUUCUUUUAUUCCCUGCCCUGCUUGAGUGUUACUUGAUGGAAUUGUUGUUACUAAUUUGGCAUGCAUGUGCUCAUAUACAAAAUAUCACCUAGUACAUUAGCAGCUGUCCGAAGUCAAGUUCAGGCUAAGUGACCAAAUCUAUUUCGGUGUAAUCUACAUGGACUUGAAUGCUUUUGUGGUUGUGAGUUAGUUGGAACUCAAAUAAUGUCAUCUCUUCAAAAACUUCAAGCAUUCACCAGUGUAUUUCUCAGCCCUGCAAGUGGUUAGAGCAUUGGUCACUUGGCAGAUAGUGUGGUGAAAGUUCAUUCAUUUGAUUUGGAAUGAACAUGGAGACAACUUCUGUAGUUAUACUAAUAUUAGAAUGACAAGUGUUUUACAGCCAUAAUGUCCUCAUAUUCAAGAUCGUAAUAUGCUUCUAUCUGUAUUUCAGAGAUCACAUUGGCAGUCUGCUAGCGACGGAUGAUCUUUGACUGACCAAGGCUUGUGGUAGCUAAAUGGAAGGUGAUGGUCUGAUGGAGCUGAAGCAUAUGAAAGCCACACCUAGGGCUUCAGAGUAGCAACGUGUACUUGCUUAGGGCAUAUGAAAUUGGAAAAACACUGUUAGAUUUGGGAAGACUCAAUGCAUUCAUAUAUAGGACCUUUUCAGGAGAACCUGGUACACUAUAUAAACCAGGAUGCUUCAAACACCUUGUACUCUAGAUUGUAA
rnacentral:lncRNA from 1 species